rnacentral:misc_RNA from 1 species
ACGUGCGGUUGAACGAAGAGACGGGACAAACGCUCAUUCAAGGAAUGGGCGAGCUUCACCUGGAAAUCCUGGUCGAGCGGAUGCGGCGCGAGUUCGGUGUAGACGCCAACGUGGGCAAGCCCCAGGUUGCUUACCGGGAAACGAUCACCAAAAAAGUCGUGGAACGCGCGCGUUUCAUUCGCCAGUCGGGCGGGCGCGGACAGUAUGGAGACGUGGAGGUCCGGCUGGAGCCGAUUGCCUCCGGGUUCGAGUUCGUGAACAAGGUGCAGGGCGGGGCGGUGCCGCGUGAGUUCAUUCCGUCGGUGGAGCGCGGCCUGAGGGAAGCGAUGGAAAGCGGUGUGCUGG